rnacentral:rRNA from 1 species
UACGGAGGGGGCUAGCGUUGUUCGGAAUUACUGGGCGUAAAGGGCGCGUAGGCGGCCUCCGCAAGUCAGUUGUGAAAUCUCCGAGCUUAACUCGGAAAGGUCAACUGAUACUGCGGGGCUAGAGUGCGGGAAGGGGCAACUGGAAUUCUUGGUGUAGCGGUGAAAUGCGUAGAUAUCAAGAGGAACACCUGAGGUGAAGACGGGUUGCUGGGCUGAUACUGACGCUGAAGCGCGAAAGCUAGGGUAGCAAACGGG